rnacentral:rRNA from 1 species
GCAAGUCGAGCGGAAACGAGAAGUAGCUUGCUACUUUGGCGUCGAGCGGCGGACGGGUGAGUAAUGCCUAGGAAAUUGCCCUGAUGUGGGGGAUAACCAUUGGAAACGAUGGCUAAUACCGCAUAAUGCCUACGGGCCAAAGAGGGGGAUCUUCGGACCUCUCGCGUCAAGAUAUGCCUAGGUGGGAUUAGCUAGUUGGUGAGGUAAUGGCUCACCAAGGCGACGAUCCCUAGCUGGUCUGAGAGGAUGAUC